rnacentral:rRNA from 1 species
CCUACGGGUGGCAGCAGUGAGGAAUAUUGGUCAAUGGACGAGAGUCUGAACCAGCCAAGUAGCGUGAAGGAUGACUGCCCUAUGGGUUGUAAACUUCUUUUAUAUGGGAAUAAAAUGUUCCACGUGUGGGAUUUUGUAUGUACCAUAUGAAUAAGGAUCGGCUAACUCCGUGCCAGCAGCCGCGGUAAUACGGAGGAUCCGAGCGUUAUCCGGAUUUAUUGGGUUUAAAGGGAGCGUAGGUGGAUUGUUAAGUCAGUUGUGAAAGUUUGCGGCUCAACCGUAAAAUUGCAGUUGAUACUGGCAGUCUUGAGUACAGUAGAGGUGGGCGGAAUUCGUGGUGUAGCGGUGAAAUGCUUAGAUAUCACGAAGAACUCCGAUUGCGAAGGCAGUUCACUAGACUGCAACUGACACUGAGGCUCGAAAGUGUGGGUAUCAAACAGGAUUAGAUACCCGAGUAGUC